AGUGAACGCUGGCGGUAGGCCUAACACAUGCAAGUCGAACGGCAGCACAGUAAGAGCUUGCUCUUACGGGUGGCGAGUGGCGGACGGGUGAGGAAUACAUCGGAAUCUACUUUUUCGUGGGGGAUAACGUAGGGAAACUUACGCUAAUACCGCAUACGACCUACGGGUGAAAGCAGGGGAUCUUCGGACCUUGCGCGAUUGAAUGAGCCGAUGUCGGAUUAGCUAGUUGGCGGGGUAAAGGCCCACCAAGGCGACGAUCCGUAGCUGGUCUGAGAGGAUGAUCCGCCACACUGGAACUGAGACACGGUCCAGACUCCUACGGGAGGCAGCAGUGGGGAAUAUUGGACAAUGGGCGCAAGCCUGAUCCAGCCAUACCGCGUGGGUGAAGAAGGCCUUCGGGUUGUAAAGCCCUGUUGUUGGGAAAGAAAAGCAGCAGGUUAAUACCCCGCUGUUCUGACGGUACCCAAAGAAUAAGCACCGGCUAACUUCGUG
rnacentral:rRNA from 1 species